rnacentral:rRNA from 1 species
UCCGUAGGCGGGCGAUUAAGUCAGAGGUGAAAUCCCACAGCUCAACUGUGGAACUGCCUUUGAUACUGGUUGUCUUGAGUUACAGUGAAGUAGAUAGAAUAUGUAGUGUAGCGGUGAAAUGCAUAGAUAUUACAUAGAAUACCGAUUGCGAAGGCAGUCUACUAACAGUUAACUGACGCUAAGGGACGAAAGCGUGGGGAGCGAACA